UGGCCUUCUAUCCUUUAACAUAAUAAUUCAAAUAGCCAUACAAAUUUGAAUGACAAACGCAAAUCUGUUUUCUGAAUGUGUCUUUCUGAUAAUAACACAAGCCGACUUUUUUAUCCCAACAUUUACCCAUCAAACUUUUAGGCUUUUCAAUGUUUCAAAUAACAACCCUGAUUGUGCUUCUUUACAAUACUGUGAAAGUACUUUUAUUUGUGGGGUACCAAUUUACGUGGUUUUCGUGGAUGACUUUAUCCACGAAUUUAAGUGUCCAACGAAAUAAAACAACCAUUGUCCAAUUCAAGACAUGGAAAGAUCCCCAUCGGUAGGUUUGACUACUGAUAUGAUCAAAGAAUACAUUGAAUAACCCAAAAUCUGAGAAUACUUUAAUAGCA
rnacentral:lncRNA from 1 species